UACGAAGGGUGCAAGCGUUACUCGGAAUUACUGGGCGUAAAGCGCACGUAGGCGGCUCUUUAAGUCGGGGGUGAAAUCCUGGAGCUCAACUCCAGAACUGCCUUCGAUACUGAAGAGCUCGAGUCCGGGAGAGGUGAGUGGAACUGCGAGUGUAGAGGUGAAAUUCGUAGAUAUUCGCAAGAACACCAGUGGCGAAGGCGGCUCACUGGCCCGGUACUGACGCUGAGGUGCGAAAGCGUGGGGAGCAAACAGG
rnacentral:rRNA from 1 species